ensembl:lncRNA
CUGGUGGCCUGCAGGAAGCAGCUUUUUUACUGCGCUCCUCAGAGGGAGAAGUCACCUGUCCUCCCUCGGAACAUCAUGCUCAGCGCACUAGCCGGGACACCAGACUUAUCACCAUGUUAUGGCAUUUAAUGAGAAUCUCUCAGGUGAUGACCAGGCUGGGGACGUCAGAAGAUAGUUACUGCUAGAACAACCAUUAACCAGGCCUGCUCGGUGUCUAUUAGACCCGCUGGGUGUGUAAUCCAGAAUGAAAGCCUGAGGUCCAGUCUGGAAGGAUUUUCCCACUCCGCCUGCAGACAGGCUAUGCCGUGAUUGGAAACUCCCGAUAACACUGACAUAUGGGAAUCAUC